UUACGAAAAAAAGCUCUCACGUGGAUGCUCUUUUGCUAUAGUAGUAUCUGAUAAAAUAAUUUUGAAAAAAUGUUUCUAAACAAAUAGUGUAAAGAACAUUUCAAGAAUGAUGCAUUGCCAGUAAAAUUACGGAAAAAAGCUCCCACGUGGACACUUUUUUGCUACAGUAGUAUCUGAAAAAGCCUUAGACUAUAAAUGAGCCAAAUUUCAUUCUCAGAUUGUAUAAGUUACAGCAAGAGAAAUUAAGGCUGAAGAAAAAUAGAAACUAAAGAUAAAUGAACGUGUUAGUGCUGUUAUUUACUAUGAUAGCGAGG
rnacentral:lncRNA from 1 species